rnacentral:rRNA from 1 species
AUUGAACGCUGGCGCCAGGCCUAACACAAGCAAGUCGAACGAGUGGCGGACGGGUGAGUAAUGUCUGGGAAACUGCCCGAUGGAGGGGGAUAACUACUGGAAACGGUAGCUAAUACCGCAUACCAUCGGAUGUGCCCAGAUGGGAUUAGGUAGUAGGGGGGGUAAUGGCUCACCUAGGCGACGAUCCCUAGCUGGUCUGAGAGGAUGACAAGCCACGCUGGAACUGAGACACGGUCCGGACUCCUACGGGAGGCAGGGGUGGGGAAUAUUGAACAAUGGGCGCAAGCCUGAUGCAGCAAAGCAGCGUGUAUGAAGAAGGCCUUCAGGUAGUAAAGUACUUUCAGCGAGGAGGAGUUACUCGCGGAAGAAGCACCGGCUAACUCCAUGCCAGCAGCCGCGGUAAUAC